UAUCUGGCCUUUACGGUCCGAGUUGUAAUUUGUAGAGGAUGUUUUGGGUACCGCCGCGGGUUAAUUUUCUUGGAACAGAAAGCCAAAGAGGGUGAGAGUCCCGUCUUGGCCUGCGGUAGGGCUCGUGUAAAACUCCUUCGACGAGUCGACUAGUUUGGGAAUGCUGGUCAAAAUGGGUGGUAAAUGUCAUCUAAAGCUAAAUAUUGGCCAGAGACCGAUAGCGCACAAGUAGAGUGAUCGAAAGAUGAAAAGCACUUUGAAAAGAGAGUUAAACAGUAUGUGAAAUUGUUGAAAGGGAAGCGCAGGCAACCAGACUCGUGCGCGGGGUUCCCCCUUGCUUCUGCUUGGGUUACUUCCCCGUGUCCGGGCCAUCAUCAGUUUUGGGGGCCGGUCAAAGGCUCUGGGAAUGUAUCCUCGCCUUCGGGAGAGGACUUAUAGCCCAGGGUGUCAUGCGGCCACCCGGGACUGAGGAACGCGCUUCGGCGAGGAUGAUGGCGUAAUGGUUGUCUGCGACCCGUCUUGAAACACGGACCAAGGAGUCUAACAUCUAUGCGAGUGUUCGGGUGUCAAACCCUUGCGCGGAAUGAAAGUGAACGGAGGUAGGAAGGCUUAAGCCUGCACUAUCGACCGAUCCUGAUGUCUUCGGAUGGAUUUGAGUAAGAGCAUAGCUGUUGGGACCCGAAAGAUGGUGAACUAUGCGUGAAUAGGGUGAAGCCAGAGGAAACUCUGGUGGAGGCUCGCAGCGGUUCUGACGUGCAAAUCGAUCGUCAAAUUUGCGUA
rnacentral:rRNA from 1 species